CCCUUAGAUGUCCUGGGCCGCACGCGCGUUACACUGAUGCAUUCAACGAGCUUAUAACCUUGGCCGAGAGGCCUGGGCAAUCUUGUUAACGUGCAUCGUGAUAGGGAUAGAUUAUUGAAAUUAUUAACCUUGAACGAGGAAUUCCUAGUAAACGCAGAUCAUCAAUCUGCAUUGAUUACGUCCCUGCCCUUUGUACACACCGCCCGUCGCACCUACCGAUUGGAUGGUCCGGUGAAGCCUCGGGAUUGUGGUUCUUGCCGCUUUAUUGUAGCGUGACCGCGAGAACUUGUCUAAACCUUAUCAUCUAGAGGAAGGUGAAGUCGUAACA
rnacentral:rRNA from 1 species